rnacentral:lncRNA from 1 species
CUUGCAUGUGGAAAUUCAUUCACUACUAGAUAUUAUGCAUCAGUUUGAUAUAUAUACAUGUUACAUGUACAUGUACAAUCAGUGGCGGAUCCAGAAAUUUUCAUAAGUGGGGGCCUGUCGACUGCCUAAGAGGGGGCCCGCUCCGGUCAUGCUUCAGUGAUUCCCUAUAUAAGCAACCAAAUUUUUCCCAGAAAAGGGGGGAAAAAAUCUGCCUCUGACAAUGUCCAAAUGACGUACUAUAGUAUACUAAUCUAUACUUUAUAUCUAGAUGUAGUCAUUUUUUGUCAAUCAUGUGAAUAGUCCACAAAAAAUGAAUAAUUAUUUCAGAAUAUUUUUACCCAUAUCUAUUAUUUUUUAGAUAAAGCCAAAAAAUUUCUAGAUCUAUAUGAAAUGGCC